UGCACACUCGUGCAUAUUCGAGAAAAAAAAGAACCUACCGAGCCUUCUGUCCGUGUAGUCUGCAACUUGACAAGGGAAAGCAAACGGAAGCUCAUGGAACUGACGCAACCAUGAUCACACGCUUCGACGUGGCAAGGUGAAAUUUUAUGGAAGAGACCAAGAGGAGUUGCUUCACGUGCUUAAUCACCGAUGUGUACAAAUGCAUAAACAGUGAUGAAUACUUUCUCAUGAAUUUUAAUUUUCCCCUCCAGUCACAACAUCAUUGAUUCCUUGUAUUAAUAUACACCUAAACUGAUGGUUU